rfam:Triticum aestivum genome assembly, contig: Triticum_aestivum_CS42_TGACv1_scaffold_591897_7BS
UCAGUACUCCCUCCGUCCGGAAAUACUUGUCAUCAAAAUGGAUCCAUUUUAGUGACAAGUAUUUCCGGACGGAGGGAGUAUUUA